UACGUAGGGUGCAAGCGUUAAUCGGAAUUACUGGGCGUAAAGCGUGCGCAGGCGGUUGUGCAAGACCGAUGUGAAAUCCCCGGGCUCAACCUGGGAAUUGCAUUUGUGACUGCACGGCUAGAGUGUGUCAGAGGGGGGUAGAAUUCCACGUGUAGCAGUGAAAUGCGUAGAUAUGUGGAGGAAUACCGAUGGCGAAGGCAGCCCCCUGGGAUAACACUGACGCUCAUGCACGAAAGCGUGGGGAGCAAACAGG
rnacentral:rRNA from 1 species